CAUUCGGAUUGAUAUUGCGACGGCGGCGCUCACUUAAAAGCCGAUAAAACCUAAUUGAAUCUUUACUAAACAAACAGCACGGCUGCAUUCCGAGUGAAAUUGAGAAACAAUAAAAACUAACGGCGUUUGUUGGAAAUAGACACAAAUAGCAACAAAUUGUGGCGUGUGGAAUGCUCACGGCUUUCCAGUGUGUUAAAUUAUUCGGAAUUUUAAUGUGCGCAACGAGUUAAGUGUCUAAAUAUCUAUCGUAAACGUAAAACGUCUUCAAUAAAAUAUUAAACACUUUUUGAUUGAUGUUAUAAUCACACACGAUAAUCAGUGUUGCCAGACAUAUGUAAAUGUCAUGUUGCAUCUCUUCGAAAAUUUCACAAAACCAUCAAAUUCUUAAUUUGAAAGUUGCCCGAGUUGUGAUUGAUGUCUUAUUGUCUGAAAGCUGAAAUUUUUGAACCCAUUUAGCAAAGAAUCAAUCAAUCUUGAGUCUUGUGUGUGUUUUGAUGGUUUCUGAUGGGUUUUUAGGUAUAAUGCGCAAGGUUAUGAAAGCGAGGCCGCGGUGUGCACAGAAAGGACAUCUCUGGACAUUUAUUCCGGUGCUGACAGUGCGCGGAGGUGGGUGAGAGUGGUGCCCGAAAAUGCCACACAACUUGACGCUGCGGGGCGCAGCGCUCACAAAUUUCGGCCUUUUGAGCCGCUCGUGUUCGGACACGGGGCGGCACGGCGCUCUCAAGGAAAAUGGAAAACGCUUUAAUGCGGACAUUUACAUGAUAUACAGCGGCUGCGGGACAAAAUGGAUGCGCCACGCUUACCGGCGAACAUGUGAAGGGAAAUAAAACAAAAAUCCAACACGAAUGGAUGCGUUGGUGAUGGUAAUGGCAACGAUUUGGUAAACACGUUCGCCGUUUUGCAUAUAAACAAUUGAUCCAGACCCAGACCCGCGGACCACACAGGCAACCAGACACUCAUCGGGCAUUGUCUUCCACAUUUUAUUUCUUGCACCAGCAAGAAGACAAAUAAAACAAUAGACAAUCAAUGAGAUAAAUAACAGUUGACAACAUAACAAGGGACUUCUCAGAUGAAUAAAAUAAAACAAAUUCAUUAAUAUUUUAAAAUAUUGUUUAUUUAUAUGCAAAAUGACAUUUAACGUUGUCAAUAUGUGUUAUUUGCUAGUUUAACCUAUAAAAAUCAGUGUUCUAACCUAUAAAAUAUAAAAUUUACUAUUAAUAAUAAAUAUUGAAGUAAAAUAGGAAAUGACAACUUAACAACAGACUUCUUAGAGGCGAAAAACGUAUAAUAAAUUUAUUAAAAUCAUAAAAUAGCAGUGAAAACUGUCAAAACAUUUAUAAUUUUCACGGAAAGAUGGCGUUAGAUGUCAGAAAAUGUGAAAAUUAAUGAUUUAACCUAUAAAGUCUCAAAUUUACUAUAAAUUCGUUGAAAAUAUGACAAUAAACUUGUUUUACAAGCAAAAA